UGGCCGAAUUGGUAAAGGCAUCGCCGCUCACAGGCGAGGUUGCGGGUUCGAGUCCCGC
rnacentral:tRNA from 1 species